rnacentral:rRNA from 1 species
GAGUUUGAUUCUGGCUCAGGAUGAACGCUGGCGGCGUGCUUAACACAUGCAAGUCGAACGAACGACUAUUAACAGAACCUUUCGGGGCGAAGAUGAUAGAAGUUAGUGGCGGACGGGUGCGUAACGCGUGGGUAAUCUGCCUUUGUCAAAGGAAUAACUAUUCGAAAGAAUAGCUAAAACCGUAUAAAAUAUUAAUAGGGCAUCCUAAUAAUAUCAAAACGAUAGUGGACAAAGAUGAGCCCGCGUCUGAUUAGCUAGUUGGUGAGAUAAAAGCCCACCAAGGCAACGAUCAGUAGCCGACCUGAGAGGGUGAACGGCCACAUUGGAACUGAGACACGGUCCAAACUCCUACGGGAGGCAGCAGUGGGGAAUAUUGCACAAUGGGGGGAACCCUGAUGCAGCAACGCCGCGUGAGUGAAGAAGGCAUUCGUGUCGUAAAACUCUGUAGUA